UUUGUGUGUGUCAACAGACUUAAUAUAUGAUCAAUUGUAAUUUAUUAAGUCUGUGCCCUGUAAAGAAUCUAAACCUACAGGGACAUUUGGUAUCUUUAUUUUGGUCAGAUUUUAAGCAUCCUCUGUUGGUAUUUCAGUUAUUUUGAGGGUUAGGGUGUCUGGAGCGGUGUAGUGGUGGACCCCAGAAUGCAGACGACAGCAAGCAGCGGUGGUGCCUCCCAAAGCGACAAAGUUCGACAGUAUCCAGCGGAAAUUUAUGGAUCUCCUGACAGUGAAGCUAAAAUUAAUUGUUCACAUAAUGAUAAUACCUUCACCCGAAUCCUCUGGUACAAGCAAUCGGCUAAAGACCUCCAGCUCCUGGGAUACAUGUUUGCAGGCGCUGGAAAGCUAGAGGAAGGAGUGAACAUGGCAAUUAAAGGGGGAGCAAAUAAAGAUGAAACCUGCACAUUAACGAUUGAAGGACUCAACCUGAACAGCAGUGCAGUUUACUUCUGUGCUGCUAGUCUUCACAGUGUUUCAAAUGGCUGCUUCUCAAUACAAAAACCUCUUGAUCUUACGAUUGUGUUCUUCACUCAUUGA